rnacentral:rRNA from 1 species
CAUUCACGGAGAGUUUGAUCCUGGCUCAGGACGAACGCUGGCGGCGUGCUUAACACAUGCAAGUCGAACGAUGAACCACCUUCGGGUGGGGAUUAGUGGCGAACGGGUGAGUAACACGUGGGCAAUCUGCCCUGCACUUCGGGACAAGCCCUGGAAACGGGGUCUAAUACCGGAUACGACACCGGGAGGCAUCUCCUCGGUGUGGAAAGCUCCGGCGGUGCAGGAUGGGCCCGCGGCCUAUCAGCUGGUUGGUGAGGUAACGGCUCACCAAGGCGACGACGGGUAGCCGGCCUGAGAGGGCGACCGGCCACACUGGGACUGAGACACGGCCCAGACUCCUACGGGAGGCAGCAGUGGGGAAUAUUGCACAAUGGGCGCAAGCCUGAUGCAGCGACGCCGCGUGAGGGAUGACGG